UACAGAGGUCCCAAGCGUUACUGAGAAUCACUGGGUUUAAAGGGUGCGUAGGUGGCACGUUAAGUCAGUUGUGAAAUCCCCGGGCUCAACCCGGGAACUGCUUCUGAUACUGGCGUGCUUGAGGCCAGUAGGGGUCACUAGAACUGGCGGUGGAGCGGUGAAAUGCGUAGAUAUCGUCAGGAAUGCCGGUGGUGAAGACGGGUGACUGGGCUGGUUCUGACACUGAGGCACGAAAGCGUGGGGAGCGAACGGG
rnacentral:rRNA from 1 species